rnacentral:misc_RNA from 1 species
AUGUUUUGGCGGAUUGAGAAGACAACAAUUUUCAGCUCAGAUUCAGAGUCCGAAGGAUUUUACGCUGAGACAAGGCGGCAAACGCAGCGACGGAAGGAGCAUACAGAAGUAUGUGACUGACGCCCGCAAGAGCAGCCAACGCCGUAUCAGUGUAAAAGACACAGGACAGAGCACAAAG